CGCGAAUAGCUCAUUACAACAGCUAUAAUUUACCAGUUGUUCAAUCUUAAACGGAUAACUGCGGUAAUUCUGGAGCUAAUACGUGCGGAAAGCCCAAUUUCUUUGAAGUUGGGUGCAUUUAUUGGUGCAAAACUAGUCAUUUGACUUUUUGCUUAAUCUGGAUAACCGAGCAUAUCGCAUGGUCUUGUACCGGCGAAGUUUCUGUCAAGUAUCUGCCUUAUCAACUGUCGUUGGUGCUGUAUUGGAGUACCAUGGUAUUAACGAGUAACGGAGGAUCAGGGUUUGACUCCGGAGAGGGAGCCUUAGAAACGGCUACCAUGUCUAAGGAUAGCAGCAGGCGCGAAAAUUACCCAAUGUCAAAACGACGAGGUAGUGACGAGAAAUAACAAGAUCGUUCUCAUUGAGGUCGGUCAUUGGAAUGAGUACAAUCCAGAAACUUUAACGAGUAUCUACGAGAGGGCAAGUCUGGUGCCAGCAGCCGCGGUAAUUCCAGCUCUCGUAAGGUAUAGAAUUAUUGCUGUGGUUAAAAAGUUCGUAGUUGGAUGGUUAUGAUUGUACGGGUCUGCCAUUUUGGUUAGUACUCGUUACUUUCAGUUUGUGUGUUCUUGUGCGUUGUUUGCUUGCAUUCAGCGUGCGCCACACAGGAUUACUUUGAACGGCUCAAGUGCUCAAAGCACGUCUUAUGACUGAAUACCGGUGCAUGGAAUAAUGGAACAAGGCUUCGGCCGGGUUUUACUGGUUUUGCCGGCUGAAUCAAUGGUUAACAGGAACAGCCGGGGGCAUUCGUAUCGUUACGCGAGAGGUGAAAUUCGUGGACCGUAGCGAGACGCCCGACAGCGAAGGCACUUGCCAAGAGUGUUUUCAUUAAUCAAGAACGAAAGUCAGAGGUUCGAAGGCGAUCAGAUACCGCCC
rnacentral:rRNA from 1 species